rnacentral:tRNA from 2 species
GGGGCUUUAGCUCAGCUGGGAGAGCACCUGCUUUGCAAGCAGGGGGUCGUCGGUUCGAACCCGACAAGCUCCACCA